CCAGAGGUGACUCUAAAGCUGUCUGCUACAACAGCACCUAUAAGCAUACGUUAGUGGAUCUCUGUGAACAGAGAAGAUGUGUGAAGUUCCUUGGCUGGGAAGAGUCUAAUCGCACAAGUGAUGGAUUGCAUGUUGAUGAUUCUGGAGGAUUGAAAAACCAGAGCUGCACUGAACUUUUAAUUCACUGCAAAGCCCCUCAUACCACCACUUCACCAAGAGAAACAUCUCAAGUCCCUCGAUCCCACAAAGAUUCAUCUUCUGUAGUGGACCGUACCAGUGAGCUGGUAGCAUAUAAGGUGGUCACGGGCCU